rnacentral:rRNA from 1 species
CCUACGGGUGGCAGCAGUGAGGAAUAUUGGUCAAUGGGCGUAAGCCUGAACCAGCCACGCCGCGUGAGGGAUGAAGGUUCUCUGGAUCGUAAACCCCUUUUUUAAGGGAAUAAUGUGCGGGUAGUGUCCCGUUUUGUAUGUACCUUAUGCAUAAGGGUAGGCUAACUCCGUGCCAGCAGCCGCGGUAAUACGGAGGAUACGAGCGUUAUCCGGAUUUAUUGGGUUUAUAGGGUGCGUAGGCGGCCUUUUAAGUCAGCGGGGAAAGUCUGUGGCUUAACCAUAGAAUUGCCGUUGAAACUGGGAGGCUUGAGUAUGUUUGAGGCAGGCGGAAUGCGUGGUGUAGUGGUGAAAUGCUUAGAUAUCACGCAGAACCCCGAUUGCGAAGGCAGCCUGCCAAGCCAUGACUGACGCUGAUGCACGAAAGCGUGGGGAGCAAACAGGAUUAGAUACCCGAGUAGUC